rnacentral:rRNA from 1 species
GUGGGGAAUCUUGCGCAAUGGGCGAAAGCCUGACGCAGCCAUGCCGCGUGAAUGAUGAAGGUCUUAGGAUUGUAAAAUUCUUUCACCGGGGACGAUAAUGACGGUACCCGGAGAAGAAGCCCCGGCUAACUUCGUGCCAGCAGCCGCGGUAAUACGAAGGGGGCUAGCGUUGCUCGGAAUUACUGGGCGUAAAGGGCGCGUAGGCGGACAGUUUAGUCAGAGGUGAAAGCACAGGGCUCAACCUUGGAAUUGCCUUUGAUACUGGCUGUCUUGAGUACGGGAGAGGUGAGUGGAACUCCGAGUGUAGAGGUGAAAUUCGUAGAUAUUCGGAAGAACACCAGUGGCGAAGGCGACUCACUGGCCCGUUACUGACGCUGAGGCGCGAAAGCGUGGGGAGCAAACAGGAUUAGAAACCCCUGUAGUCC